rnacentral:lncRNA from 1 species
UGCAUGAUAGAAGCGGGUUCCCUGUGGAAGAGAGAGAAGGAGCUCGUGGGAAUGGGACAGAGUUGUUAUAGGGAAGAGUAGACAAGUUGUUGUUCUUAAAAAAUGAAUCCGGAAUUCGAAUGAUUUUAUCUUCAGGACAGCACAUAUGUCGAAUCGUGAAAACCUGAACUCGUGAAAACCUGAACUCGUGAAAACCUGAAAUCGUAAAAACCUGAACUCGUGAAAUUAAUCCUGCAGCGUGGAAUUGUGAAAUCAUUGACUGACUGAACUCUGAAUAAACUGAUAAUCUAGAACUUGAACGUCACGCA